rnacentral:rRNA from 1 species
CUAAGAAUAUUCCGCAAUGGACGAAAGUCUGACGGAGCGACGCCGCGUGGAUGAUGAAGGCCGAAAGGUUGUAAAGUCCUUUUGCUGGGGAAGAAUAAGCGUGGGAGGGAAUGCCCGCGUGAUGACAUGAACCGGCGAAUAAGCCCCGGCUAACUACGUGCCAGCAGCCGCGGUAACACGUAGGGGGCAAGCGUUGUUCGGAAUUACUGGGCGUAAAGGGCAUGUAGGCGGCCUUGUAAGCUUGGCGUGAAAGUCCACGGCUUAACCGGGGGAGUGCGUUGAGAACGGCGAGGCUUGAGUGACGGAGAGGGAGCUAGAAUUCCUGGUGUAGGGGUGGAAUCUGUAGAGAUCAGGAAGAAUACCAAUGGCGAAGGCAAGCCCCUGGCCGAUGACUGACGCUGAGGUGCGAAAGUGUGGGGAUCAAACA